rnacentral:rRNA from 1 species
GGCGACGGUGGCGGCGGAGGAGACGGAGCUCUGGCCGUGGUGCCCGUGGAAGCCAAGCCGCAGCCGCAGAUGCAGCGACAGACCGCCCUCGACGUGCCGCCCUUCCUCAUCUUCGAAAAGUGCAGGGCGCCGGAGCUCUUGGAGUGCCAUGCCUGCCACCUCCCCCUCAAACCGCUUAUCUUCUCGUGCGACGACGGGCAUCUGAUGUGCUCGUCCUGCCGCGGCGCGCACGGCGAGGACUGCGGCCGCGUCGCCGCCCCCUGCCGCCUGGCAGACGCCUACGCCGGCGCCGUCAAGCUGCCGUGCGACUACGUCAAGUUCGGCUGCGAGGCGGGGCUCGUCGUCUACCACGACUCCGUGGACCACCGCCGCGCGUGCCAGCACGCGCCCUGCUGCUGCCCUGAGCGCGACGGGCCCUGGGGCGGCGGUGGCUGCGACUUCACCGGCUCCCGGGAAAUGCUCCUCGAGCACAUCUCCACGAACCACUCCCGCCAGGUCAUCCUCAUGCGCCACGGCCAGACGGGGAGGCUCAGCCUGCCACUGGCACGGCGCUGGCAGGUCCUCGUCGACCAGGACGACAUGGCCAACCGGCAUCGGAGCGUGUUCCUCGUGAUCUUGGCCGAGCGCGACAAGGACGCCGCGGUGUCGCUGGUGUGCGUCAGGGCGGACGGCGACGCACCGGGCGCGCCGCAGUUCUCGUACAAGCUCGCUGUGGAGCACACCGGCAGUGGCGCGAGAGUGACGUUCGAGUUGCCGGUCAUGAAAAGCAGCUCCCUGCCCGCUGGCACGCCAUGGCCGGACGAGUUUACCUCCCUGUCGGUGCCGAAAGCGUAUCUGUCUGACGACAUUGUCCCCCUCAACAUCCACAUUGACAAACACGUCGCUCCUCCUCCCCCUCCUGCUGACGCCCCUACUAGUCCUCCUCUUCCUCCUCCUCCUCCUCUUCCUCCUGCUGCCUCGGCUACCACGGCCGUCAAGUCCGCGCCUAUUGAUCAAGGCAGCAAGAAACGAAAAUCUACCAAUCCGAAGAAACUCUAG